UCUUCAAAAUUUUCUGUGUAGAAGAUAAUGCAAUGUGCAAUGGAAAAUGAUUUUACACCAUUAUUCGCAAUCUGGAGGACUUACAUUCUGUUUCUUCAUUUUCUUUGGUAGAACCUCUAGGAAAAUGUUGAAGUUCACUGUGUUGCUGAGGAGUACCAAAAGUGUUUGUAGCUUCUCCACCUCUCUCCAGACCCAGUUUUUGUCACUGUUGAACCAGAUGGAUGCUUAGCUCUGUCAUAAAUGGUGCGGACUCCUUCAGUACACCUUAAUCAUUGAGACUGGAGACUUUAAGAUGGAGAGAUACUGGAUUCCAGUGAAAAGAAAAAGAACAAGAGGAAGCCUCCAAUGGAAAGAAGAGCCUGU